AAGUCGUAACAAGGUUUCCGUAGGUGAACCUGCGGAAGGAUCAUUACCGUGUUUGGGUCCCGUCACGGGGCCCGACAUACCACCCCUUUGUUGUCACACAAUCGUUGCUUCGGCGGGACGGCCGCGCCCCCAGGGGCGCGGACGCCGGGCUCCAAGUCGCCCGGAGAGCGCCCUCCGGAGGCCCACCAAACACUUGUCUUUGAACCAGCGAGUCAGAGUCGAAUUUUUUCGAAUGAGAAAAUGAAAAACUUUCAACAACGGAUCUCUUGGUUCUG
rnacentral:misc_RNA from 1 species